AUUGAACGCUGGCGGCAGGCCUAACACAUGCAAGUCGAGCGGAUGAGUGGAGCUUGCUCCAUGAUUCAGCGGUGGACGGGUGAGUAAUGCCUAGGAACCUGCCUGGUAGUGGGGGACAACGUUUCGAAAGGAACGCUAAUACCGCAUACGUCCUACGGGAGAAAGCAGGGGACCUUCGGGCCUUGCGUGCUCAGAUGAGCCUAGGUCGGAUUAGCGAGUAGGUGAGGUAAUGGCUCACCUAGGCGACGAUCCGUAACUGGUCUGAGAGGAUGAUCAGUCACACUGGAACUGAGACACGGUCCAGACUCCUACGGGAGGCAGCAGUGGGGAAUAUUGGACAAUGGGCGAAAGCCUGAUCCAGCCAUGCCGCGUGUGUGAAGAAGGUCUUCGGAUUGUAAAGCACUUUAAGUUGGGAGGAAGGGCAGUAAGUUAAUACCUUACUGUUUUGACGUUACCAACAGAAUAAGCACCGGCUAACUUCGUGCCAGCAGCCGCCGUAA
rnacentral:rRNA from 1 species